UGCCAGCCGCCGCGGUAAUAGGGAGGGUGCAAGCGUUAACCGGAAUUACUGGGCGUAAAGCGCGCGUAGGCGGUUUUGUAAGUCGGAUGUGAAAUCCCCGGGCUCAACCUGGGAACUGCAUUCGAUACUGAAUAGCUAGAGUUUGGUAGAGGUAAGUGGAAUUCCGGGUGUAGCGGUGAAAUGCGUAGAUAUCCGGAGGAACAUCAGUGGCGAGGGCGGCUCACUGGACCGUAUCUGACGCUGAGGUGCGAAAGCUAGGGUAGCGAACGGGAUUAGAUA
rnacentral:rRNA from 1 species